rnacentral:rRNA from 1 species
AGUGAACGCUGGCGGUAGGCCUAACACAUGCCAGUCGAACGGCAGCACAGUAAGAGCUUGCUCUUACGGGUGGCGAGUGGCGGACGGGUGAGGAAUACAUCGGAAUCUACUUUUUCGUGGGGGAUAACGUAGGGAAACUUACGCUAAUACCGCAUACGACCUACGGGUGAAAGCAGGGGAUCUUCGGACCUUGCGCGAUUGAAUGAGCCGAUGUCGGAUUAGCUGGUUGGCGGGGUAAAGGCCCACCAAGGCGACGAUCCGUAGCUGGUCCGAGAGGAUGAUCAGCCACACUGGAACUGAGACACGGUCCAGACUCCUACGGGAGGCAGCAGUGGGGAAUAUUGGACAAUGGGCGCAAGCCUGAUCCAGCCAUACCGCGUGGGUGAAGAAGGCCUUCGGGUUGUAAAGCCCUUUUGUUGGGAAAGAAAAGCAGCAGGUUAAUACCCCGCUGUUCUGACGGUACCCAAAGAAUAAGCACCGGCUAACUUCGUG